CACAGCGAUCCUCCUGCCUCAGCCCCCCAAGUGCUGGCAUUGCAGGUAUCCCUGAGGGGUCUGUACCUCUGGAUCCUCUUCUUUCCGUGGUGUACAGUUCAGAUAAAACCGUCAGGAGGAUGUGCAGCAGUUCUGGCUUCCGCUCUGCAUUGUCUUCUCUUGAGGCUGUGGUGACCUGACUGAUGACUUCCACGUCCCUACAGCGCUGAAGCGGGAGGGCAAGCCUCAGUGAUUCCGCGCAGUGGCUCCAAGUGUUGCUCUGCGACACUUCUCCUUUUGGAAAGUCUUUGCAGCAGUGACAAUGGCCGGAAGGGAAGAUGACAUCGACAUCGGAUGCAGAUUCCAGGAAGACACCAUUGCUUACCCAAAGUGAAGCAGCUCUUGAGUCAGACAAGCUGAGUCAAAUGUAGAAGAGUGCAAGAGAUCUGUCCCUGCACUAGAGAUCUGAAGAAUCCAGCUGAAGGCCUGGAGCCCAAGGCAAUGUCCGAUAUGGAUCCAUAUCAGGAGGCUGAGGAAUUUGUGAUGGAAGACUGAAAGGUCUGCACUGGAAAGCCCAAGGGGCCAUGCUGGAGGCUAGAGAGUCUGCGCUGGCAGGCUAAACUGUCAGUGCUGGAAGCUAAAGAAUCUGUACCGAAAGCCAAGAGAGGAUGCCCAAGGCAAAGGCAAAGACAAAGCUCCUCCAAAGAGAACAGCAACCAUCCUUGGAGAGGGCGAAGACCGGAGCUCAGCUGAAGAGAACAGCCAAAGCCUCUCUGAUGAAAAGUAGCCAGAACAAAGCUCUUCUAAGGAAAAUCAGCUGAAGUCCCUCCCAUUCUCCUUGUAUACUGUUCAGACAACAAGCCUCCUUCACUGGGUCUUCCAUGUCCAGAACCGUGCUUACUCAGUUCAGCUGGGUGUUCCCCACUCGAGCUGACAGUCAGUUAACCACUACAGUGGCCAUCGGCCUUGUGUUCACUGUCUUCUUGCUCUUGCAGUGGCCUGCUUUGCAUGCAGGGUAUAUUUUCUUUUCCCUCUUUACUUCUUUUUUUUUUGG